AUCGAACGCUGGCGGCAGGCCUAACACAUGCAAGUCGAGCGGAUGAGUGGAGCUUGCUCCAUGAUUCAGCGGCGGACGGGUGAGUAAUGCCUAGGAAUCUGCCUGGUAGUGGGGGACAACGUUUCGAAAGGAACGCUAAUACCGCAUACGUCCUACGGGAGAAAGUGGGGGAUCUUCGGACUUCACGCUAUCAGAUGAGCCUAGGUCGGAUUAGCUAGUUGGUGAGGUAAAGGCUCACCAAGGCGACGAUCCGUAACUGGUCUGAGAGGAUGAUCAGUCACACUGGAACUGAGACACGGUCCAGACUCCUACGGGAGGCAGCAGUGGGGAAUAUUGGACAAUGGGCGAAAGCCUGAUCCAGCCAUGCCGCGUGUGUGAAGAAGGUCUUCGGAUUGUAAAGCACUUUAAGUUGGGAGGAAGGGCAGUAAGUUAAUACCUUGCUGUUUUGACGUUACCAACAGAAUAAGCACCGGCUAACUUCGUGCCAGCCGCCGCCGUAAUAC
rnacentral:rRNA from 1 species